rnacentral:rRNA from 1 species
GUCGCCUCCUAAAAGGUAACGGAGGCGCUCAAAGGUUCCCUCAGAAUGGUUGGAAAUCAUUCAUAGAGUGUAAAGGCAUAAGGGAGCUUGACUGCGAGACCUACAAGUCGAGCAGGGUCGAAAGACGGACUUAGUGAUCCGGUGGUUCCGCAUGGAAGGGCCAUCGCUCAACGGAUAAAAGCUACCCCGGGGAUAACAGGCUUAUCUCCCCCAAGAGUUCACAUCGACGGGGAGGUUUGGCACCUCGAUGUCGGCUCAUCGCAUCCUGGGGCUGUAGUCGGUCCCAAGGGUUGGGCUGUUCGCCCAUUAAAGCGGUACGCGAGCUGGGUUCAGAACGUCGUGAGACAGUUCGGUCCCUAUCCGUCGUGGGCGUAGGAAAUUUGAGAGGAGCUGUCCUUAGUACGAGAGGACCGGGAUGGACAUACCUCUGGUGUACCAGUUGUCGUGCCAACGGCAUAGCUGGGUAGCUAUGUGUGG